UGCCAGCCGCCGCGGUAAGACGGGAGAUGCAAGCGUUAUUCGGAUUUAUUGGGCGUAAAGGGUCUGUAGGUUGUUGGUUAAGUCUAUGGUCAAAUUCCGAAGCUCAACUUCGGGCCGGCACUAGAAACUAAUCAACUUGAGUACGUUAGAGGCAGGGGGAAUUCCCAGUGUAGCGGUGGAAUGCGUAGAUAUGACACAGAACGCCAAUUGCGAAGGCAGCUUACUAAGCCAUGGUUGACGCUGAGGCACGAAAGCGUGGGGAGCGAACAGGAUUAGAUA
rnacentral:rRNA from 1 species